rnacentral:rRNA from 1 species
AGUGAACGCUGGCGGUAGGCCUAACACAUGCAAGUCGAACGGCAGCACAGUAAGAGCUUGCUCUUACGGGUGGCGAGUGGCGGACGGGUGAGGUAUACAUCGGAAUCUACUUUUUCGUGGGGGAUAACGUAGGGAAACUUACGCUAAUACCGCAUACGACCUACGGGUGAAAGCAGGGGAUCUUCGGACCUUGCGUGAUUGAAUGAGCCGAUGUCGGAUUAGCUAGUUGGCGGGGUAAAGGCCCACCAAGGCGACGAUCCGUAGCUGGUCUGAGAGGAUGAUGAGCCACACUGGAACUGAGACACGGUCCAGACUCCUACGGGAGGCAGCAGUGGGGAAUAUUGGACAAUGGGCGCAAGCCUGAUCCAGCCAUACCGCGUGGGUGAAGAAGGCCUUCGGGUUGUAAAGCCCUUUUGUUGGGAAAGAACAGCAGCAGGUUAAUACCCCGCUGUUCUGACGGUACCCAAAGAAUAAGCACCGGCUAACUUCGUG